rnacentral:rRNA from 2 species
UACGGAGGGUGCAAACGUUGCUCGGAAUCAUUGGGCGUAAAGCGCGCGUAGGCGGCGAAGCAAGUUGGAUGUGAAAGCCCUGGGCUCAACCUAGGAUGUGCAUACAAAACUGCUUCGCUUGAAUCUCGGAGGGGGACAGGGAAUUCCCGGUGUAGAGGUGAAAUUCGUAGAUAUCGGGAGGAACACCAGUGGCGAAGGCGCUGUCCUGGACGAUGAUUGACGCUGAGGCGCGAAAGCGUGGGGAGCAAACAGG